rnacentral:lncRNA from 1 species
AAACACGUAAAAUUUGACGUUAAAAUGUAUUAUUUCCGUGUUUAGAUGUUUCUUAUAACUUUUAACCAAUCAAAAUUUAGUAAACAUAAUUAAUAUUUUAUAAUUUGCCAUUAUUACAUACAUUGGAAAUGUAAAUGUAAAAUAUGAAUUUUUUAGAAACAAUUUUUUUUCUAAAAUAUAGAUCAUUCUGAAACGGAGGGAAUAGUAUUAGUUAUCAAAUAAGCAGAAACGGGAAAAGAAUCUGUUACUAGAUAACCUUUCAACACUUAAGGCAAAAUAUUAUUCACAAUUCACAUGCAGGGGCCACAAUUAAGGUAUUAGAAAAUAAUGACUGGAAAUAUUCUUAGCAAUUCUUCUAAUCUCCUUCUGACCUCGAUGUAUCACACGUUAGUCAUCCUGGAUUGCUGUCAAAUGUAAUCUAUUUCUAUGAGCCUUUGAAAUGGAAUGAAAAUAAGCAGUAUUCCUAUCACCAGCUCGUAACCACAUCA